CAGGUUGAAGGUUGGGUAACACUAACUGGAGGACCGAACCGACUAAUGUUGAAAAAUUAGCGGAUGACUUGUGGCUGGGGGUGAAAGGCCAAUCAAACCGGGAGAUAGCUGGUUCUCCCCGAAAGCUAUUUAGGUAGCGCCUCGUGAAUUCAUCUCCGGGGGUAGAGCACUGUUUCGGCAAGGGGGUCAUCCCGACUUACCAACCCGAUGCAAACUGCGAAUACCGGAGAAUGUUAUCACGGGAGACACACGGCGGGUGCUAACGUCCGUCGUGAAGAGGGAAACAACCCAGACCGCCAGCUAAGGUCCCAAAGUCAUGGUUAAGUGGGAAACGAUGUGGGAAGGCCCAGACAGCCAGGAUGUUGGCUUAGAAGCAGCCAUCAUUUAAAGAAAGCGUAAUAGCUCACUGGUCGAGUCGGCCUGCGCGGAAGAUGUAACGGGGCUAAACCAUGCACCGAAGCUGCGGCAGCGACGCUUAUGCGUUGUUGGGUAGGGGAGCGUUCUGUAAGCCUGCGAAGGUGUGCUGUGAGGCAUGCUGGAGGUAUCAGAAGUGCGAAUGCUGACAUAAGUAACGAUAAAGCGGGUGAAAAGCCCGCUCGCCGGAAGACCAAGGGUUCCUGUCCAACGUUAAUCGGGGCAGGGUGAGUCGACCCCUAAGGCGAGGCCGAAAGGCGUAGUCGAUGGGAAACAGGUUAAUAUUCCUGUACUUGGUGUUACUGCGAAGGGGGGACGGAGAAGGCUAUGUUGGCCGGGCGACGGUUGUCCCGGUUUAAGCGUGUAGGCUGGUUUUCCAGGCAAAUCCGGAAAAUCAAGGCUGAGGCGUGAUGACGAGGCACUACGGUGCUGAAGCAACAAAUGCCCUGCUUCCAGGAAAAGCCUCUAAGCAUCAGGUAACAUCAAAUCGUACCCCAAACCGACACAGGUGGUCAGGUAGAGAAUACCAAGGCGCUUGAGAGAACUCGGGUGAAGGAACUAGGCAAAAUGGUGCCGUAACUUCGGGAGAAGGCACGCUGAUAUGUAGGUGAAGUCCCUCGCGGAUGGAGCUGAAAUCAGUCGAAGAUACCAGCUGGCUGCAACUGUUUAUUAAAAACACAGCACUGUGCAAACACGAAAGUGGACGUAUACGGUGUGACGCCUGCCCGGUGC
rnacentral:rRNA from 1 species